rnacentral:rRNA from 1 species
GAUGAACGCUAGCUACAGGCUUAACACAUGCAAGUCGAGGGGAAACGACAUCGAAAGCUUGCUUUUGAUGGGCGUCGACCGGCGCACGGGUGAGUAACGCGUAUCCAACCUGCCCAUCACUUGGGAAUAACCUUGCGAAAGUAAGACUAAUACCCAAUGAUAUCCCACGAAGGCAUCGGAAUGGGAUUAAAGAUUUAUCGGUGAUGGAUGGGGAUGCGUCUGAUUAGCUUGUUGGCGGGGUAACGGCCCACCAAGGCAACGAUCAGUAGGGGUUCUGAGAGGAAAGUCCCCCACAUUGGAACUGAGACACGGUCCAAACUCCUACGGGAGGCAGCAGUGAGGAAUAUUGGUCAAUGGGCGAGAGCCUGAACCAGCCAAGUAGCGUGCAGGAAGACGGCCCUAUGGGUUGUAAACUGCUUUUAUAAGGGAAUAAAGUGGGUCACGUGUGACUUUUUGCAUGUACCUUAUGAAUAAGGACCGGCUAAUUCCGUG